rnacentral:tRNA from 1 species
GUUAUGAUUUAUAAAGGUAGACACAAGGGAUUUAAAAUCCCUCGGCGUUCGCGCUGUGCGGGUUCAAGUCCCGCUCCGGGUACCA